rnacentral:antisense_RNA from 1 species
CCUGUCUGUCUCCGUUUGCAAUCCCAGCUGCCUUUGUAUGGAGAGCUUUUACGCAGCACCUGAAAAUUCAAUUUGAACACCUGUGUCCCCUUCUUUUCAAUCUGGGAGGCUGAAAUUUGACAGACACAUCAUGGCAAAGUUGUGCAGCAGCGAUGCGAGUAGAUGCUGAAAAAAGGGAGGAAUCUGAGAGCAGGAUAAUAUGCUCAAGAAAAUCCCAUUGGUGGAAUGUUUGUGAGAGAAAAAAAAGGUGGCAGAAAGACUGGUAUUAUAGUAGUCCCUGCUUAUCUUUGGGGGAUAGAUAUGCUCCAGGAACCCCAUCCCGCCGCCAGUGGAUGCCUGAGACCUUGGAUAGUACUAAACCGGAUUGCCAUCUAUUGGAACAUGUUUCUCUUCCAUCCGCAGAUGUAAUGCCUUUUCCAUCUUAACUCAGCACUCAUCAUGCACUGUGGCCAUAACUUUUGCAGUCUGAGGUGCAACAGCAAAACUAGCACAAAUUUAUUUUUCCUACUUGACAAUUUC